rnacentral:rRNA from 1 species
UACAGAGGUCCCAAGCGUUGUUCGGAUUCACUGGGCGUAAAGGGUGCGUAGGCGGUCGGGUAAGUCUGGCGUGAAAUCUCCAAGCCUAACUUGGAAACUGCGUUGGAUACUAUCCGGCUCGAGGAAUGGAGGGGAGACUGGAAUACUUGGUGUAGAGGUGAAAUUCGUAGAUAUUCGGAAGAACACCAGUGGCGAAGGCGACUUACUGGACACGUAUUGACGCUGAGGUGCGAAAGCGUGGGGAGCAAACAGG